UGAUUAUCUGAUGGCAUGCGGUCUAAU
rnacentral:piRNA from 1 species